rnacentral:rRNA from 1 species
AACGCGAAGAACCUUACCUGGGUUCGAAAUGCAGUUGUAAGCCUCAGAGAUGAGGUCCCCUCUUCGGAGGCAGCUGUAUAGGUGCUGCAUGGCUGUCGUCAGCUCGUGUCGUGAGAUGUUGGGUUAAGUCCCGCAACGAGCGCAACCCUUGUCCAUAGUUGCUAACGCGUAGUGGCGAGAACUCUAUGGAGACUGCCGGUGAUAAACCGGAGGAAGGUGGGGAUGACGUCAAGUCCUCAUGGCCUUUAUGUCCAGGGCUACACACGUGCUACAAUGGACGGUACAAAGAGUCGCGAUCCCGCGAGGGGGAGCUAAUCUCAAAAAGCCGUUCUCAGUUCGGAUUGUUCUCUGCAACUCGAGAGCAUGAAGCUGGAAUCGCUAGUAAUCGCGGAUCAGCACGCCGCGGUGAAUACGUUCCCGGGCCUUGUACACACCGUACGUC